AUUGCGCAAUGGAGGAAACUCUGACGCAGUGACGCCGCGUGCAGGAAGAAGGUUUUCGGAUUGUAAACUGCUUUAGACAGGGAAGAACAAAGACAGUACCUGUAGAAUAAGCUCCGGCUAACUACGUGCCAGCAGCCGCGGUAAUACGUAGGGAGCGAGCGUUAUCCGGAUUUAUUGGGUGUAAAGGGUGCGUAGACGGGAAGUCAAGUUAGUUGUGAAAGCCCUCGGCUUAACUGAGGAACUGCAACUAAAACUGUUUUUCUUGAGUACUGGAGAGGAAAGUGGAAUUCCUAGUGUAGCGGUGAAAUGCGUAGAUAUUAGGAGGAACACCGGUGGCGAAGGCGACUUUCUGGACAGAAACUGACGUUGAGGCACGAAAGUGUGGGGAGCAAACAGGAUUAGAUACCCUGGUAGUCCACACCGUAAACGAUGGAUACUAGGUGUGGGGGGUCUAACCCCCUCCGUGCCGCAGUUAACACAUUAAGUAUCCCACCUGGGGAGUACGAUCGCAAGGUUGAAACUCAAAGGAAUUGACGGGGGCCCGCACAAGCAGUGGAGUAUGUGGUUUAAUUCGAAGCAACGCGAAGAACCUUACCAGGGCUUGACAUAUAGAUGAAUAACUAAGAGAUUAGUUAGUCCUUCGGGACAUCUAUACAGGUGGUGCAUGGUUGUCGUCAGCUCGUGUCGUGAGAUGUUAGGUUAAGUCCUGCAACGAGCGCAACCCCUGUGAUUAGUUGCCAACAGGUUAAGCUGGGAACUCUAAUCAGACUGCCGGUGAUAAAUCGGAGGAAGGUGGGGAUGACGUCAAAUCAUCAUGCCCUUUAUGUCCUGGGCUACACACGUACUACAAUGGCUGUAACAGAGAGAAGCAACACCGCGAGGUAGAGCGAAACUCCAAAAGCAGUCUCAGUUCGGAUUGAAGGCUGAAAUUCGCCUUCAUGAA
rnacentral:rRNA from 1 species